GGGCGGUUAGCUCAGUCGGUUAGAGCACCUGCUUUACACGCAGGGGGUCAGAGGUUCAAGUCCUCUACCGCCCACCA
rnacentral:tRNA from 1 species